UCCAGUUACAUUUCCGCAUAUUUGCACCAAACAAAACUAACCACAACUAGGAAACUUUAAGGAAGCGGGAAAAAAAAUUGGCAUCGAUCCCCUGGGCUGUUACUAUAACCUUAUCUUUUUCUGCACAGUUUCCUUGUGCUGCGCACCGGGAUGUGGAGAGGGGCCCAGCGGGGCCCGCCUCCUCUGGUCCGACCAGGUGCGCAGCCCUUCACUCCCGCAGAUCGCUGGAUUCUCCAGCCUGGUGCACAGCGAGAGCAGCGAGGCAUGGCGAGAUCCAAGGCCAGGGUGUACACUUGUUGCGCGCUGCUUGUUGUUGUUAUGAUCGCCAUCAUCGUGAUCAUAACUGUCACUACGAGACGCAGGUGCGCGGACGACACUUUCUCGAAAGCUGCCGUAGCCGCAGACGCGAGGAAAUGCUCAGAGAUUGGAAGGGACAUGCUUCGACGAGGCGGCUCGGCGGUAGAUGGCGCCAUCGCCGCGCUUCUGUGCACCGGCAUCAUGAACCCGCAGAGCGCGGGGAUCGGAGGGGGGGCCAUUUUCACCGUGAUGGACAGAUCUGGUCAAGUGAAGAUCAUCAACUCCAGGGAGACGGCGCCGUCAAAGGUGGACCCUGAUCUGCUGAAGUCCUGCCCAUUAAACCGGUCAGGAAGCAAAUGGAUUGGUGUGCCGGGGGAAAUUCGAGGCUACGAACUGGCGCACAAACUUUAUGGAAAACUGCCGUGGGCCACGCUCUUCCAGCCGACCAUCAAGCUGGCCAGAGAGGGAUUCCCUAUUCCUCCGGUCCAAGGAUUGUUCAUCCCACUCAUUAACAAUUCGCUGACCCCAAGGAAACUAUAUUCAGACAAAACUGGAACCCUGCUGAAGACCGGAGACGAGAUCAAGUUUGAGAAACUGGCCGACACUUUGGAGCUGAUUGCAAACAAAGGAGCGGACGUCUUCUACACCGGAAGGGUAGCGGAGGAUUUAGUCCGUGACGUGCAGCAGGAAGGAGGAAACCUGACGCUGGAGGAUUUGGCAUCAUAUAAGGCCACAGUGACCGAGGCGUGGGUUGCCCCAGUGGGAGAGUACCAGAUGUACAUACCCCCGCCCCCGUCAGGAGGACCGCUCCUCAGCCUCGUCCUCAACAUCAUGAAAGAGUAUCAGGUGAGGUCGGCCCCUCUUUCUGUUGAGGAAAAGAUUCGGUUUUAUCACCGCUAUGUUGAAGCUUUUAAAUUUGCCAACGGACUAAAGAGGCACAUUCGGGACCCACACUUCAAAUCAGACAAAAUGGCAAAGGAAAUAAUAGCAGAAAGUUUUGCCAAACACAUAGGGACCCUGAUCAGCAGCGACAGGACACACGACAACCAGUAUUACAAUCUCACCACGUAUCUGGACAGUCUGGGCACCACGCACGUGUCCGUUCUGGCCGAAGACGGGUCAGCCGUCGCCGUCACCAGCACCAUCAACUACAUGUUUGGCUCCAAGGUCUACUCUCCCAGCACUGGGAUAUUCCUGAACAACCAGCUGUCGGACUUUUGUGGAAGGGUCGAUAACAUCUUUCCCGGGGAGCAGCCCCCCUCCUCCAUGACCCCCGUUGUGCUGAAGUCAAAGUGGAAGACGCUGGCGAUUGGAGCGAGUGGUGGGAGCAUGAUCACGACGGGGCUGGCCUCGUCGGUGUGUUUUCUUUCUCUUCCAGGCUCUCAUCAACCAUCUUUGGUUUGGGAAGAGCCUUAAAGAGGCCAUUGAUACUCCGGUUGUCUAUGUUGACUCUGAAAACAAAGUGAAGUUCGAACCCAAGUUUGACGAGGGUGUCAUCAAGGCUCUCAGAGCGUUGGGGCACAAAAACGAAACGGCAAGGAAAUUCUACAAUGUGGUUAACGCUGUGGAGAAAAAGGACGGCUGCAUCUGUGCUGUGUCUGACGACAGGAAACUGGGUGAAGCAGCUGGUUACUGACCCCACCAGUCAGUAACGCUGGUAACGGAGGAUGUCCUGAAAAUGAGCGAGAUCUUCCUGCAGCAGAAAGUGUCUGUUGUUCUUGAACAUCACUGAAAGAGAAGCGGAGAAACGGGUUUAAUUUGCAGAGCUUCUGCAGAAACACGCCUUCCUGACAGACUGUAUUCCAUGUAGUUACAAGGAAAAGAAAGAAAAAGAAAAAAAAGAGACUUUUCUUUUAGCACUGCAAGUUCGUGCGUGUUUUUCUAAGUGCAAGUCUGGAAUGCUUCUUGUUUCCCUUUACAUUUCAUUGAAACAUUUUCUGAUUUUCACUGGCAACCCUGAUGGGCCUGUGGUCUCUGUCGGCGACACUGGAGGACCGCUGACCGCCGUUGUUCGAUGUUGACAUAUUGCUCUUCAUCUCAUUUCUGUUAAUAGCUCUGGGGAAAAAGUCACAGUGAUAAUGACCGCUGGCCACACAACCCAGGCCACAUUUGUAGAAUGAUACCAAAGAUACCAAAGAUGUAUUUUUUAAAAACAGUCUUGUAUAUACAUGCAUUGACAAACACUGUAUUUUCAGAGCAAUAGCUGUCCGAAUGUAUUUGUACUUGAUCAGCAGGUCUUUGAGUAAAUCCUAAAAUUUAAUGUGCAAAAUAAAAAUCUAAAAAUCUG